UACGUAGGGUGCGAGCGUUAUUCGGAAUUACUGGGCGUAAAGCGCGCGCAGGCGGUUCGUUAAGUUGGUUGUGAAAGCCCUGGGCUCAACCUGGGAACUGCAAUGGAAACUGGCGGGCUUGAGUGCGGCAGAGGGGGGUGGAAUUCCGCGUGUAGCAGUGAAAUGCGUAGAGAUGCGGAGGAACACCGGUGGCGAAGGCAGCCCCCUGGGCCGACAUUGACGCUCAGGCACGAAAGCGUGGGGAGCAAACAGG
rnacentral:rRNA from 1 species